rnacentral:rRNA from 1 species
ACUCAAAGGAAUAGACGGGGACCCGCACAAGCGGUGGAUGAUGUGGUUUAAUUCGAUGCAACGCGAAAAACCUUACCCACCUUUGACAUGUCUGGAAUUCCGCAGAGACGCGGAAGUGCCCGAAAGGGAGCCAGAACACAGGUGCUGCAUGGCUGUCGUCAGCUCGUGUCGUGAGAUGUUGGGUUAAGUCCCGCAACGAGCGCAACCCUUGUCAUUAGUUGCUACGAAAGGGCACUCUAAUGAGACUGCCGGUGACAAACCGGAGGAAGGUGGGGAUGACGUCAAGUCCUCAUGGCCCUUAUAGGUGGGGCUACACACGUCAUACAAUGGACGGUACAAAGGGCUGCCAACCCGCGAGGGGGAGCCAAUCCCAUAAAACCGUUCGUAGUCCGGAUCGCAGUCUGCAACUCGACUGCGUGAAGUCGGAAUCGCUAGUAAUCGUGGAUCAGAAUGUCACGGUGAAUACGUUCCCGGGUCUUGCACACACCGCCCGU